UCGAUAAUAUCGAUAGUUGCCAGCUAUCGAUAGAAUCGUUAAGCUUUAAGCGUUACCGAUAGUUAUCGAUAAUCAUCUCGCAUGCACCCUACGCACCCAUCCGCAGCGAUGCCAAAACAGCUAAGCAAAUUAACCUUACCAGCGCUGAAAACGAUUCUGAUGCCUGUUCGCACUUACACGUAAUCCCCUGCAAAACUGCACGAAUAUUUCAAUUUUACUUUAUCUCACGCAAAACCCAAACAAAUAUCAACAACGAUGACAGGACAAUUUGGGACUACGAAGCUGCUGAUAUUUGUUUGGUUUUUCGCAUAAGAGAGUAAAGGAAAGAAAUAUUUUUGCUUUUGUCAACACGCAUACUCUGACAAUCUAUACGAGAGUUUACGGGAGUGUGAGCAGCCUCUAAAAUCUUUUUGAGCUUAGUCGCGAAUUGUUUGAAAAUUGAGAAAUAUUCAUGUUUGCUCACUUUAACUCGUGAUUUCGCGGUGAUUCUAAUCUUCUUAAAGUUGGCAGCAGUACGACAAAGUUGUAUGUAACGAAAGCAACUUUUUUCUUUGAAAAAUGUCACAGAAUACAGCCCAAAAAAGAACGAAGAGGUCAUUUGUAUGGGGCUUCUUCGAAAAAAUUAACAAAGGUAAUAGUAAUGUAUUUCGUUGCAAAGUUGCUGGAUGUAAAACAGAGCUCUCAUGUAGUGGAAACACUACUAACCGACGAUAUCAUUUGCAAUCGCAUCACCCGGUUGAAUUACGUGAAGCACAAUCUGGAAAUCGAAUGUCAUCUGAUUCAAGUUUUAACGAUGAUGAGAGAGACAAUGCGGAAGGAAUGCAUCACCAAAAACAAACAUCGAUGAGAAAAUACAUCAAGCAAAGCGGCAUUUCGUACAAUCCAGCUUCUCAAAAAAAAAAAGGAAUUGGACAAAGCAUUAGUUCGCUUUAUAGUGAAAGAUAUACAACCGUUGGCCGUAGUUGAUGACGACGGGUUCGCCGAGUUCGUUCAUGCUCUCGAUCCGCGGUAUUGUUUACCGAGCAGGAGACACCUACGAGACGUUUUGUUGGAGCAAGCGUAUCAGAAAACUGUACAACAUAUAGGCGAGAUCUUAAAACCUAUCAAAUUUAUUGCCAUAACAUACGAUGGCUGGACUAGCCGUACAACACAAGGAUACUUGGUGGUAACUGGACAUUUUAUUUUCGAGGAAAAGCUUUCAACUGCGACAUUAGGUGUGAUACCAAUACCGUCGCGUUCGACGAGUAAAAAUUUGAAGGAAUUGAU